UGCGAACUCCUACGGGAGGCAGCAGUAGGGAAUCUUCGGCAAUGGACGGAAGUCUGACGGAGCAACGCCGCGUGAGUGAUGACGGCCUUCGGGUUGUAAAGCUCUGUUAAUCGGGGCGAAAGGUCUUCUUGCGAAUAGUUAGAAGAAUUGACGGUACCGGAAUAGAAAGCCACGGCUAACUACGUGCCAGCAGCCGCGGUAAUACGUAGGUGGCAAGCGUUGUCCGGAAUUAUUGGGCGUAAAGCGCGCGCAGGCGGAUCAGUUAGUCUGUCUUAAAAGUUCGGGGCUUAACCCCGUGAUGGGAUGGAAACUGCUGAUCUAGAGUAUCGGAGAGGAAAGUGGAAUUCCUAGUGUAGCGGUGAAAUGCGUAGAUAUUAGGAAGAACACCAGUGGCGAAGGCGACUUUCUGGACGAAAACUGACGCUGAGGCGCGAAAGCCAGGGGAGCGAACGGGAUUAGAUACCCUUGUAGUCCUGAGU
rnacentral:rRNA from 1 species